rnacentral:rRNA from 3 species
UGACCCCAGGAUGGGCGGGGUGACCCGCUGAGUUU